UGGUCAGGUUGAAGUUCAGGUAACACUGAAUGGAGGACCGAACCGACUUACGUUGAAAAGUGAGCGGAUGAACUGAGGGUAGCGGAGAAAUUCCAAUCGAACCUGGAGAUAGCUGGUUCUCUCCGAAAUAGCUUUAGGGCUAGCCUCAAGUGAUGAUUAUUGGAGGUAGAGCACUGUUUGGACGAGGGGCCCCUCUCGGGUUACCGAAUUCAGACAAACUCCGAAUGCCAAUUAAUUUAACUUGGGAGUCAGAACAUGGGUGAUAAGGUCCGUGUUCGAAAGGGAAACAGCCCAGACCACCAGCUAAGGUCCCAAAAUAUAUGUUAAGUGGAAAAGGAUGUGGCGUUGCCCAGACAACUAGGAUGUUGGCUUAGAAGCAGCCAUCAUUUAAAGAGUGCGUAAUAGCUCACUAGUCGAGUGACACUGCGCCGAAAAUGUACCGGGGCUAAACAUAUUACCGAAGCUGUGGAUUGUCCUUUGGACAAUGGUAGGAGAGCGUUCUAAGGGCGUUGAAGCAUGAUCGUAAGGACAUGUGGAGCGCUUAGAAGUGAGAAUGCCGGUGUGAGUAGCGAAAGACGGGUGAGAAUCCCGUCCACCGAUUGACUAAGGUUUCCAGAGGAAGGCUCGUCCGCUCUGGGUUAGUCGGGUCCUAAGCUGAGGCCGACAGGCGUAGGCGAUGGAUAACAGGUUGAUAUUCCUGUACCACCUAUAAUCGUUUUAAUCGAUGGGGGGACGCAGUAGGAUAGGCGAAGCGUGCGAUUGGAUU
rnacentral:rRNA from 1 species